rnacentral:rRNA from 1 species
AGUUACCAGCACGUAUGGUGGGCACUCUAACGGAGACUGCCGGUGACAACCGGAGGAAGGUGGGGAUGACGUCAAGUCAUCAUGGCCCUUACGGCCUGGGCUACACACGUGCUACAAUGGUCGGUACAAAGGGUUGCCAAGCCGCGAGGUGGAGCUAAUCCCAUAAAACCGAUCGUAGUCCGGAUCGCAGUCUGCAACUCGACUGCGUGAAGUCGGAAUCGCUAGUAAUCGUGAAUCAGAAUGUCACGGUGAAUACGUUCCCGGGCCUU